rfam:Salmo salar isolate Sally breed double haploid chromosome ssa22, whole genome shotgun sequence.
GGCAUGGUGGCCAAGUGGUAAGGUGUUGGUCUUGUAAACCGAAGAUCAUGGAUUCAAAUCCCUUCUGUGACG